CCCUUAGAUGUUCUGGGCCGCACGCGCGCUACACUGAUGCAUUCAACGUGUUUCUUCCUGGUCCGAGAGGAAUGGGUAACCUUUUGAAAGUGCAUCGUGAUAGGGAUAGACUAUUGCAAUUAUUGGUCUUCAACGAGGAAUUCCUAGUAGACGUAGUUCAUCAGACUGCAUCGAUUACGUCCCUGCCCUUUGUACACACCGCCCGUCGCUCCUACCGAUUGAAUGCUCAGGUGAGCCAUUCGGACUUUCAUCAUGCUGGUUUCCAGUUUUGAUGAAGGAAAGUCUUGCGAACCUUAUCAUUUAGAGGAAGGAGAAGUCGUAACA
rnacentral:rRNA from 1 species